CUUGGACGUUGGGGGUGGGAUUCACUGCGUGAAUCUCUGAGAGAGUCCCCGGAACCUGAUCAGGAUAAGACCUGCGUAGGAAAACGGACCUGUAAAAUU
rfam:Leptospira interrogans serovar Lai str. 56601 chromosome I, complete sequence.